rnacentral:rRNA from 1 species
UGGGGAAUAUUGCACAAUGGGCGAAAGCCUGAUGCAGCAACGCCGCGUGAGGGACGACGGCCUUCGGGUUGUAAACCUCUUUAGCAAGGAAGAAGCGAAAGUGACGGUACUUGCAGAAAAAGCGCCGGCUAACUACGUGCCAGCAGCCGCGGUAAUACGUAGGGCGCAAGCGUUAUCCGGAAUUAUUGGGCGUAAAGAGCUCGUAGGCGGUUUGUCGCGUCUGCUGUGAAAACCCGAGGCUCAACCUCGGGCCUGCAGUGGGUACGGGCAGACUAGAGUGCGGUAGGGGAGAUUGGAACUCCUGAUGUAGCGGUGGAAUGCGCAGAUAUCAGGAAGAACACCGAUGGCGAAGGCAGAUCUCUGGGCCGUAACUGACGCUGAGGAGCGAAAGGGUGGGGAGCAAACAGGCUUAGAUACCCUGGUAGUCCACCCGUAAACGUUGGGAACUAGUUGUGGGGUCCAUUCCACGGAUUCCGUGACGCAGCUAACGCAUUAAGUUCCCCGCCUGGGGAGUACGGCCGCAAGGCUAAAACUGCAAAUGAAUUGACGGGGUCAUAGCUGUUUCCU